rnacentral:rRNA from 1 species
AUACCCUAUUAUAUUUAUUUUUAACCUCCAAAUGCCUGAUUAUUAACAGCUAUGAUCUUUAAACUCAAAGAAUUUGGCGGUGAUUUAGUCUUAUUAGGGGAACCUGUUUUUUAAACGAUAAACCACGCAAUAUCUUGCCUACUUCUUGUCGUUUGUAUACCGUCAUUAAGAUAACUUUAAAAGAAUAAGUUAUUAAAAUAGAAUUUUUCUAAUAUAUUAGAUCAAGGUGCAGCAGUUAGGUAGGUUAAAAUGGGUUACAAUAAAAUAUAUUUAAAACGGAAGAGAUUCUGAAUUUUGUCUCUGAAGGCGGACUUAAAAGUAAAUAUUUUUUAAUAUGAGAAGUUGAAUUUAGCACUAAAUCAUGUAC